CUCCAUCGAUGGACGGUGGGAUCUUCCGCUUCGGCGAGGCCGUGCCACCGACGCUGCCCUACGCAACCAAGACGCGUCGACCGAAGAGGCCGCCGCCGGCACACAACAGCCUACCAUACUUGCCCCCUAUCGAUCUUCCUUACGCGUCCUCUCCCCCUUCCUUCGAUUGGAAGGCAUCGGGGAGUUCCUUCCUUCCCACCCCAACCCGCUCCCCUAUAAAAAAACUCGGUUUUGGGAGAUCCCCAUAUCUGCAUCUCGUCUCCUCCAAUCAGACAAGAAAGAACGCUUAAUUCCUUUGAGAAGUACUGAGACGAAGAGUUCUAAUCCAACAAACAAGGUUUCUCUGAAUUGGUUUCGAGUCUUCUUGUUUGGUUCUGCUGUCAUCUGAAUCUAGUUUGAUCAACUUGUUUCGGGGAAAUGGGUCAUCACCACCACCACCACCAUGAGGGUGGCAGCCCAUAUGACUAUCCCUUGGUGGCCCUUUGCUGCUGCCCGUGCUUGCUGCUGAGCUCCAUCCUGAGGGGUGUUGGGAGUUGCAUCUUUAUAGCCUGCUACCCCGUCCUGCGAUGCUUUGGCUUCGACGAGCACUAUCAUCAUCGCCACCACCACCACCACCACCAUGAUCAUUGCUAUUGAACAACCGAGCCUCGGUUCUCAUGCCUUCAAGUUUAUUGCAUUUUGACUGUAGAAACCUCUGUGCAAUGAGCUUCCUUUUCUCGCAAAUUAUUAUUAUUAUUAUUAUUAUUAUUAUUAUUAUUAUUAUUAUUAUUAUUAUUAUUAUUAUUAGUUCAUUAUCUUCACGAGAAUUGCUAUAAUAAUUGUAUGAUGAUUGGCUUUCGUGGAGUGGAUUGACACAGUUAAUGUUCUUCUCUAUGUAUAAUUGGAUUAAGUACUUCAGGUGCUGUGGAACACAUGAAGCAUUUCUUCUGCAAUCCCAUUUGUAUAACAAGUAGGCCAGUGAAUGACCAUUUCUUUCUUGCUA